AUACGGAGGGUGCAAGCGUUAAUCGGAAUUACUGGGCGUAAAGCGUACGUAGGCGGGUCGUUAAGUUAGAUGUGAAAGCCCCGGGCUUAACCUGGGAACUGCAUUUAAAACUGGCGAACUAGAGUUGAGUAGAGGGGAGUGGAAUUUCAGGUGUAGCGGUGAAAUGCGUAGAGAUCUGAAGGAACACCAGUGGCGAAGGCGACUCCCUGGACUCGAACUGACGCUGAGGUACGAAAGCGUGGGUAGCAAACGGAAUUAGAAACCCCAGUAGUCC
rnacentral:rRNA from 1 species